GGUUGGUUUCAACAAAACGUUUUGUUAUUUUAUUUUACAUUUUCAAUGCAUAUUUCUUGAUAGCUUUCACUAAAAAAUCGAUCAGAAAUAACAAUAAAAUAUUGUAAUUUUUACACACUCCUUUUUUAUUACUUAAAAAUUAAAUUUGGUUUAGUUCGAAACCAUAAAUCGGUUAAUUUCAAUGAACGUGUAGUGAGACUAAAAAUGAAAAACAAAAGAAAAAAAAAGAAAAAUUUUCGAGGAAAUAUUAAAAAAAUUUCUCAUUGGAACAGCGAGCAGCAGCAGCCGAAACAAUUUUUUGAAACCCCUGUGACUGCCGAGCACGAUUCUCAUUCGUCGGUGCGGCCGGAACCCUCCGAAUUUGAUCCACCAUGCACUCAUCUAACAGGAACAGUCGGAUUAACAUGCGGAGCACCCUACCUAUUACAUCGGUGCGUUCUAAAAGAAAGGCGGACCAUUACUUUUGUCCAGCAGCUACAACAUAACGUGGGUUGGCUAGCGAUUAGUGAGGAUAAGUUGGCCAUAACGUGCCAAUACUCAUCCUCACAAGAAGAAUUUCCAAUGUAAAAAAGGCAUUUUAAUGCGAAUAAAUUAAGCAUAAAUAAAAUUAAUUGAAACCGAAUCAAUAAAUCCGAAAAUCAACAACAA